rnacentral:rRNA from 1 species
AGUGAACGCUGGCGGUGGGCCUAAUACAUGCAAGUCGAACGAACGGACAGUAAGCGCGCGCUUUUGAGGGUAGCGGGGGGCGGAUGGGUAAGGCGUGGAUAGGAAUCUUAUAUUACGGGGGGAACAACGGGAGGCCGUAGAUGAUACUGGAUAAUAUGAUCAACGGGAGGGAGCAAAGGAUAAUGACGCCUUUGGUGACACAUAUAGAUGGAGCCGGGCUGCAUUAGCUAGUUGGUAAGGUAACGGCUUACCAAGGCAACGAUGCAUAGCUGACCUGAGAGGGUGAUCGGCCACACUGGAACUGAGACACGGUCCAGACUCCUACGGGAGGCAGCAGUAGGGAAUCUUCCGCAAUGGGCGCAAGCCUGACGGAGCCACGCCGCGUGAGUGAUGAAGGUCUUCGGAUCGUAAAGCUCUGUUAUUAGGGAAGAACAUAUGUGUAAGUAACCGUCCACAUCCUGACGGUACCUAAUCAGAAAGCCGCGGCUAACUACGUG